UACGUAGGUGACAAGCGUUGUCCGGAUUUACUGGGCGUAAAGAGCGCGCAGGCGGUCGUUCAAGUCGAGUGUGAAAGCCCCCGGCUCAACUGGGGAGGGUCAUUCGAUACUGAUCGACUCGAAGGCAGGAGAGGGAAGUGGAAUUCCCGGUGUAGUGGUGAAAUGCGUAGAUAUCGGGAGGAACACCCGUGGCGAAGGCGGCCAGCUGGGCCGACCCUGACACUGAGGCGCGAAGGCGUGGGGAGCGAACGGG
rnacentral:rRNA from 1 species